rnacentral:rRNA from 1 species
UACGUAGGGUGCAAGCGUUGUCCGGAAUUAUUGGGCGUAAAGAGCUCGUAGGCGGUCUGUCGCGUCGGCUGUGAAAACCCGGGGCUCAACUCCGGGCCUGCAGCCGAUACGGGCAGACUAGAGUUCGGCAGGGGAGACUGGAAUUCCUGGUGUAGCGGUGAAAUGCGCAGAUAUCAGGAGGAACACCGGUGGCGAAGGCGGGUCUCUGGGCCGAUACUGACGCUGAGGAGCGAAAGCGUGGGGAGCAAACAGG